GAGUUUGAUCCUGGCUCAGGAUGAACGCUGGCGGUAUGCCUUACACAUGCAAGUCGUACGAGAGUUUUUAACUCAAGUGGCGGACGGGUGAGUAACACGUAAGAAUUUGCCUCUAGGAGGGGGAUAACAGCUGGAAACGGUUGCUAAUACCCCAUAUGCUUUCGAGUGAAAUGGAUUUCCGCCUAGAGAGAAGCUUGCGGCUGAUUAGCUUGUUGGUGAGGUAAUGGCUCACCAAGGCGACGAUCAGUAUCUGGUUUGAGAGGACGAUUAGACACACUGGAACUGAGACACGGUCCAGACUCCUACGGGAGGCAGCAGUGGGGAAUUUUCCGCAAUGGGCGAAAGCCUGACGGAGCAAUACCGCGUGAGGGAUGACGGCCUAUGGGUUGUAAACCUCUUUUUUCAGGGAGGAAUCAAUGACGUGUACCUGAAGAAUAAGCAUCGGCUAACUCCGUGCCAGCAGCCGCGGUAAGACGGAGGAUGCAAGUGUUAUCCGGAAUCACUGGGCGUAAAGCGUCUGUAGGUGGUUUAAUAAGUCAACUGUUAAAUCUUGAGGCUCAACCUCAAAAUCGCAGUCGAAACUAUUAGACUAGAGUAUAGUAGGGGUAAAGGGAAUUUCCAGUGGAGCGGUGAAAUGCGUAGAUAUUGGAAGGAACACCGAUGGCGAAGGCACUUUACUGGGCUUAUUACUAACACUCAGAGACGAAAGCUAGGGUAGCAAAUGGGAUUAGAUACCCCAGUAGUCUAGCUGUAAACAUGAUACUAGAUUGUUUGAACAGAUCGACCUUUGGGCAGUUAUUCAAAGCUUAACGGCGUUAAGGUA
rnacentral:rRNA from 1 species